rnacentral:lncRNA from 1 species
ACUCUCUUUCUCUGCUGGAAGAAUCAAGGAGAAAUACCUGGGGUGAAGCCUUGUGGCAUAUCUCCUUGCCUUCUUCUGAUCCGUAUCAUACGCUUGACCUACGUAUGGUAACAAUUCCAGGAACUUAUCUGUAUACUCAUCAAUGCUCAUCUCCUCUGUCUGUCUCAGCUGUUCGAACUCGACAACCUUCAUCUCCCUGGAACUGUCAGGAAAAGCCCACCCUGCAAACUCAUUGGCGAACUCUUCCC